rnacentral:rRNA from 1 species
UACGAAGGGGGCGAGCGUUGUUCGGAUUUACUGGGCGUAAAGGGCGCGCAGGCGGCUAUCCAAGUCAGGCGUGAAAGCCCCGGGCUUAACCUGGGAACUGCGUCCGAUACUGGCAGGCUUGAAUCCGGGAGAGGGAUGCGGAAUUCCAGGUGUAGCGGUGAAAUGCGUAGAUAUCGGGAGGAACACCAGCGGCGAAGGCGGCUUUCUGGACCAAUACUGACGCUGAGACGCGAAAGCGUGGGGAGCAAACAGG